UACGGGGGGAGCAAGCGUUGUUCGGAUUUACUGGGCGUAAAGGGCGCGUAGGCGGCCACCGCAAGUCGACUGUGAAAUCUCUGGGCUUAACCCAGAAAGGUCAGCCGAUACUGCGGGGCUAGAGUGCAGAAGGGGCAACUGGAAUUCUCGGUGUAGCGGUGAAAUGCGUAGAUAUCGAGAGGAACACCGGUGGCGAAGGCGGCAUCCUGGACCAACACUGACACUGAGGAGCGAAAGCCAGGGGAGCAAACGGG
rnacentral:rRNA from 1 species